AACGAACGCUGGCGGCAGGCCUAAUACAUGCAAGUCGAACGCUUGUAGCAACACAAGAGUGGCGCACGGGUGAAUAACACGUGGGAAUAUGCCUUUUGGUACGGGACAACCUCGGGAAACUGAGGCUAAUACCGUAUGGUCCCUUCGGGGUAAAGAUUUAUCGCCAAAAGAUUAGCCCGCGUCUAAUUAGCUAGUUGGUGAGGUAACGGCUCACCAAGGCGACGAUCAGUAGCUGGUCUGCGAGGACGAUCAGCCACACUGGGACUGAGACACGGCCCAGACUCCUACGGGAGGCAGCAGUAGGGAAUAUUGGACAAUGGGCGCAAGCCUGAUCCAGCCAUGCCGCGUGAGUGAUGAAGGCCUUCGGGUUGUAAAACUCUUUAGCCCGCGAAUAAAAUGACUGUAGCGGGAAAAUAAGCCCCGGCUAACUUCGUGCCAGCAGCCGCCGUAA
rnacentral:rRNA from 1 species